AUGAACGCUGGCGGCGUGCUUAACACAUGCAAGUCGAACGAAGCACUUUAACCUGAUUCUUCGGAUGAAGGUUUUUGUGACUGAGUGGCGGACGGGUGAGUAACGCGUGGGUAACCUGCCUCAUACAGGGGGAUAACAGUUAGAAAUGACUGCUAAUACCGCAUAAGACCACAGAGCCGCAUGGCUCGGUGGGAAAAACUCCGGUGGUAUGAGAUGGACCCGCGUCUGAUUAGGUAGUUGGUGGGGUAACGGCCUACCAAGCCAACGAUCAGUAGCCGACCUGAGAGGGUGACCGGCCACAUUGGGACUGAGACACGGCCCAAACUCCUACGGGAGGCAGCAGUGGGGAAUAUUGCACAAUGGGGGAAACCCUGAUGCAGCGACGCCGCGUGAGCGAAGAAGUAUUUCGGUAUGUAAAGCUCUAUCAGCAGGGAAGAAAAUGACGGUACCUGACGAAGAAGCACCGGCUAAAUACGUG
rnacentral:rRNA from 1 species